UCCGAUAUGGUGUAGUGGCUAACAUUAUCGCCUCUCACGCGAUAGCACGGGGAUCGAUUCCCCGUGUCGGAA
rfam:Dichomitus squalens LYAD-421 SS1 unplaced genomic scaffold DICSQscaffold_13, whole genome shotgun sequence.